rnacentral:rRNA from 1 species
UACGGAGGGGGCUAGCGUUGUUCGGAAUUACUGGGCGUAAAGCGCACGUAGGCGGCUUUGUAAGUUAGAGGUGAAAGCCCAGGGCUUAACCCUGGAAUUGCCUUUAAGACUGCAUCGCUCGAAUUGUGGAGAGGUGAGUGGAAUUCCGAGUGUAGAGGUGAAAUUCGUAGAUAUUCGGAAGAACACCAGUGGCGAAGCGACUCACUGGACACAUAUUGACGCU